AUUGAACGCUGGCGGCAGGCCUAACACAUGCAAGUCGAGCGGAUGAAGGGAGCUUGCUCCUGGAUUCAGCGGCGGACGGGUGAGUAAUGCCUAGGAAUCUGCCUGGUAGUGGGGGAUAACGUCCGGAAACGGGCGCUAAUACCGCAUACGUCCUGAGGGAGAAAGUGGGGGAUCUUCGGACCUCGCUAUCAGAUGAGCCUAGGUCGGAUUAGCUAGUUGGUGGGGUAAAGGCCUACCAAGGCGACGAUCCGUAACUGGUCUGAGAGGAUGAUCAGUCACACUGGAACUGAGACACGGUCCAGACUCCUACGGGAGGCAGCAGUGGGGAAUAUUGGACAAUGGGCGAAAGCCUGAUCCAGCCAUGCCGCGUGUGUGAAGAAGGUCUUCGGAUUGUAAAGCACUUUAAGUUGGGAGGAAGGGCAGUAAGUUAAUACCUUGCUGUUUUGACGUUACCAACAGAAUAAGCACCGGCUAACUUCGUG
rnacentral:rRNA from 1 species